GCCACUCUUCUCAGACCUUUCCACCAAUCGCUGGAGUCUGGAGGGGAAAUGAAAACUCUUUUCUGCUUAAUGAAUGCAGUAAGUGGACGGAAGCCUGAGUUCCCAGCACUCCAUUAGCCAGCCAGCCAGCCAGUAUGUUGGUGUUUGAUCUUAUGCCUAUCACUUCAUGGUCCCAAGAUUGUUUGUAAAGUUCCAGACAUCACACCUAUAUCAUCCGUGUUCAAGACUUUUUUCCUGUGGCUGAUUUCUGGUUCCAUAAUGUUGUGGUCAAAAGAUGCCUGAGCAAACCGAACACCUCCUGUCUCAGCCUACUCUAUUGCUUGGAGGAGCCGUGUGCCCUGGAGGCUUCUGGCAAAGCAUUUUCUCUCCUGACAAAAAGGAACAGAUAUGCUGACCUCACCAGCCAUCACAAUCAAUGUAGAGAGAAAGGGCCUCAUGGAAUGCUUUCGAGAAUGCUGCUAGCUUUUUACAGAAUCACCUGCAGAUGUGCUUGGAAGCUACAAAAAUUCCAACAAGGAAGAGAAUUCUUUUGUCUUCUGACAAGACCCUUGUUCCUCCUGAACUGAGCGGCUUUGAGACACACUGCAAAAGUGCAAGUAAAGGCGGUGUGCUGCUUUUCCAUUUGUCAAAAUAAAUUAAAAUCAGUCUUCAGUGGCAGA